GCCUUCGUGGUGCAGUGGUGAGCACGCUCGGCGUGUAACCGAGAGAUUCGUGGUUCGAUUCCCGACGAAGGCG
rfam:Stegodyphus mimosarum contig29329, whole genome shotgun sequence.